UCCCCGGUAGCUCAACUGGCAGAGCAUCCGGCUGUUAACCGGAGGGUUGUAGGUUCGAGUCCUACCCGGGGAG
rnacentral:tRNA from 1 species